rfam:Stegodyphus mimosarum contig91630, whole genome shotgun sequence.
GCCUUCGUGGUGUAAUGGUCAGCACACUCAGCCUGUUUUUCAGAGGUCCGUGGUUCGAUUCCCGGCGAAGGCC